rnacentral:rRNA from 1 species
GAUGAACGCUAGCGGCAGGCUUAAUACAUGCAAGUCGGAGGGGCAGCGAGGGGUAGCAAUACUCGCUGGCGACCGGCAAACGGGUGCGGAACACGUACAGAACCUUCCUUUAAGUGGGGGAUAGCCCAGAGAAAUUUGGAUUAAUACCCCGUAACAUUAUUUAGUGGCAUCACUUAGUAAUUAUAGAUUUAUCGCUUAGAGAUGGCUGUGCGGCUGAUUAGGUAGUUGGUGUGGGUAACGGCCCACAAGCCUUCGAUCAGUAACUGGUGUGAGAGCACGACCAGUCAC